rnacentral:lncRNA from 1 species
AUGCUUUCCACGGGACCUGCAGUCCAGCAGCACUCCAGUGUCUUGAUCUGCAAGUUAUCUCCAAGGAAAUCCCAUGGGACACAUCUCAUGACAUGGGGACACUUCAGUCAUUCCCAUAAGCUCAGAUCCUUCCAAGCAACUCAGAGGAAGCAAAGCUCCCAAAAAGGUCCCUGCUCAUCUCUUCAAGCAGACACUGCAGAGAGAGAGCAGCAGCUCAUCAAGCCAUAAUGUCAAGAAAGGAAAUGAACUAAACUAAUUCUCUUUUCCUUUUGCUAGCCCCAGCAUUUAAUUUUUGACUUUUAGAGUCUAAACAUAGCAACAUGGCAGUGAACAGAAGGCUCCCUAAAUCUUAGGGAAUAUCUAUUCUUGUAUUUAAAGCCUGAAGGAAAUAGAAUGCCUAUUCUGAAUAUCUUCAAAGUAAAUCAACAACUAAGCACGAUUCCUAUCCUAGUGCUGUUGAAAUGAGAAGCUAGAUUCACAAAAUGUUACACUAUGGAAAUCUAGAGUAAGAGUGCAUUAAAUCUGAGUCUUGCCCAGUACACUGUCACUUUUCUGUCAGAUUCCCAUCCCAACCUUUUUUUUAUACUGUUCAUUUCAAAUGUAGCUCCCCUAUAUCUUUUGGCUAGGAAAUGAAUAUAUGCAAGACCCCAGACCUCAUGAUUCCAGCAGCAUGAGGGAGCAGCACAUUUAAAAGCAUAUUUAUCAUUUCAAGGAAGCCAUUCCAGGUUGCUUUUUCAAAGAGUGAUUGAAAGCAGUUUAGGAAAUGUAGAACACUAAAAUAAGAUGAAGAUAGAGACACAACUAUUGGUAUGGUCUCAGAUUUUUUCAAGAAUAUCAGGAUACUUGUGUAUAUGACAGUAAUUUCCACCAAGUGUAAUUUCAAAUCAAAAUUCUUGGUUUUCUUCAAGUAAUGCAGCAAAAAGUUAUCAAGUGGCACAUUACAGGGUUAAUAAAGCACUGGCUGUUGUUCA